rnacentral:rRNA from 1 species
AUUGAACGCUGGCGGCAGGCCUAACACAUGCAAGUCGAGCGGAUGAAGGGAGCUUGCUCCUGGAUUCAGCGGCGGACGGGUGAGUAAUGCCUAGGAAUCUGCCUGGUAGUGGGGGAUAACGUCCGGAAACGGGCGCUAAUACCGCAUACGUCCUGAGGGAGAAAGUGGGGGAUCUUCGGACCUCACGCUAUCAGAUGAGCCUAGGUCGGAUUAGCUAGUUGGUGGGGUAAAGGCCUACCAAGGCGACGAUCCGUAACUGGUCUGAGAGGAUGAUCAGUCACACUGGAACCGAGACACGGUCCAGACUCCUACGGGAGGCAGCAGUGGGGAAGAUUGGACAAUGGGCGAAAGCCUGAUCCAGCCAUGCCGCGUGUGUGAAGAAGGUCUUCGGAUUGUAAAGCACUUUAAGUUGGGAGGAAGGGCAGUAAGUUAAUACCUUGCUGUUUUGACGUUACCAACAGAAUAAGCACCGGCUAACUUCGU